rnacentral:misc_RNA from 1 species
CCUGCAGCCUGCCCUCUGGUGCGGCUGCGGGCUCUCUGGCGCCGGUGGACAGGGCUUGGCUGGCGCUGUGCCGAAGAGACGUAUAGCCAUGCUCACGCCUGGACCAGCCCACUACGAGUCCUGCCCGCGUAUUCAGCACGUACACGCAUCCACCAUCUCUUCUCCUGCUGUUACUGCGCUGCGGUGAUGUCGUGCGUAGUUCUGGGCCUCGGCUGCUGUGUAUGCGCAGUAGAAUGGCAGUGGGCUGGGCGACGCCGAAGGGCGUCGGUGGACCCCGCUCCCUGUCAUUGCCGCCGUGCGACACAGCGGUGGGUGGGCUGCGGUUACGUAUGCGUGUAUAGGUGCUGACUUGUUCGUGGUGGGGUGGACACGUUGGAAACGGAAGAAGGUGCCUUUUCUAGGCGGUAAAAGGUAGUGGCGCACAACACACUUUCCCGCUCGCUUUUUACUUCCCGCCUUUUGUGCUGCAGUAUGACUUGUCAGUGUUGUAACGUACAUGUGCCUAUUCGCGGGUGCACCUCAUUGGGUCAGCGUACGAGUGCAGCGACGGCAAAAAAAAAUCAAGGUGAAAAGCACAUCCCAGUAGCAACUCUUGCACACGACAUCCUUGGCAAGCACCACAGUGUCGCCCUUUCACGUAUUUGCGGCUCUUGCCAAGGGAUCCGAGAAUGCUGGCCGCAGCGGUUUGACAGUGCGGGUGCGACGUUACAAACGACGCCUCACCAAUGAAGAGUUAAUCACGCAAACGCGUGAGCCACAUGGAGAUACCUGGCGCGCACAAUUGCUGCGGUACGCGCUGUGCGCGCGCUCUCGUGGUGCCUUCCCUUCCUUACUCCUCCCCCACACCUUCAGUGGCGAUCCCUUUCGCCUUCCGUUACGCACCCUCUUCUCUCCGCACCUGCCCGCAUGCUCCAAAG